rnacentral:rRNA from 1 species
GAUGAACGCUGGCGGCGUGCCUAAUACAUGCAAGUCGAGCGAACAGACGAGGAGCUUGCUCCUCUGACGUUAGCGGCGGACGGGUGAGUAACACGUGGAUAACCUACCUAUAAGACUGGGAUAACUUCGGGAAACCGGAGCUAAUACCGGAUAAUAUAUUGAACCGCAUGGUUCAAUAGUGAAAGACGGUUUUGCUGUCACUUAUAGAUGGAUCCGCGCCGCAUUAGCUAGUUGGUAAGGUAACGGCUUACAAAGGCAACGAUGCGUAGCCGACCGGAGAGGGUGAUCGGCCACACUGGAACUGAGCAACGGCCCAGACUCCUACGGGAGGCAGCAGUAGGGAAUCUUCCGCAAUGGGCGAAAGCCUGACGGAGCAACGCCGCGGGAGUGAUGAAGGUCUUCGGAUCGUAAAACUCUGUUAUUAGGGAAGAACAAAUGUGUAAGUAACUAUGCACGUCUUGACGGUACCUAAUCAGAAAGCCACGGCUAACUACGUG